CCUACGGGAGGCAGCAGUGGGGAAUAUUGCACAAUGGGGGGAACCCUGAUGCAGCGACGCCGCGUGGGUGAAGGAGUACUUCGGUACGUAAAGCCCUAUCAGCAGGAAAGAAAAUGACGGUACCUGACUAAGAAGCCCCGGCUAACUACGUGCCAGCAGCCGCGGUAAUACGUAGGGGGCAAGCGUUAUCCGGAUUUACUGGGCGUAAAGCGCUCGUAGGCGGUAUGUCAAGUCAAGGGUGAAAUCCCCGCGCUCAACGUGGGAACUGCCUUUGAAACUGGCAAACUGGAGUGUGUGAGAGGAUAGUGGAAUUCCAGGUGUAGGAGUGAAAUCCGUAGAUAUCUGGAGGAACAUCAGUGGCGAAGGCGACUAUCUGGCACAUAACUGACGCUGAGGAGCGAAAGCGUGGGUAGCAAACAGGAUUAGAUACCCCGGUAGUC
rnacentral:rRNA from 1 species